rnacentral:snRNA from 13 species
AUACUUACCUAGAGACGUUGCUGGAGCUCAAAAAUUCUUAGCGACUGGGUAGUUUCGUCUGCAUUGCACACGGCAGAACGGCUAUUUACCUGCCAUCUUCGGGUGGUACGGGUCUCAUAAUUUUUGAUUUCGACCCUCUUGGGUCAC